GUUUUGGGCAGCAUUUCCGGCGCAAUUUGGUCCUUUUGGCCUGACCUACUACAAGACACCCACUGAUGGGGCUUCCGAUGACAGGCAGGCUAACUCCGAGAAAGAGAGAGAGCUUUGAUCAAUUGACGGACGGAAUUGAUAACGGUUCUUAUUUGGCAAUUUCAUAUCAGAAGACAAAGAGCUAAGCUCGAAAAUCUUGGAUUUUUCACAGCUCCUCAUCUACUGUGAGCAUACCUGGUCCUGGGAACUUGAUUCCAUCACAUCUAGUUUGCUCGGAGAUUAUGAUUUUUAGCAUUCAAGACUCAGAAUUCUAAAGCAGGAUAAUCCUGGAACUCUUUAUAACUUUAAACUGACGCAUUGUAGUGUGCCUGGUAUUCACUUGGCAGCUUAAGCUUUAGGAUUCCCAUUUCAAUGCCCUUAUCUGCAAUCAAUUGGAUCUGAUUACAGACACUGGGCCAAUUAUGCUACCCUGCCAUCUACAGUAGUCGUGCCAAAUACUUCCUUAUUUGUUGCCAAAAGUUUUCGAAUUCGCUCUGUUUUUUCCCGAAUCUAAUUAAUUUUUUUUGAUCUUGUCUUACCUCAAUUUGCGUAGGGCGGAAAUAGAAUGACCUUCUCUGGUCUUGAAACCCUGCAAUUGGC
rnacentral:misc_RNA from 1 species